UUGGAGCGCCUUCUCUCUGCUUUUGGAGAAAGGGAAUACACGAUAAAGAAGGAGACGGAAAGAAGAGAAAAAGUGAGGCGGGAGACAGAGGGAAAAGGGCGUGAACAGAAAGGGCCGGAGCGUGCAGGGGAGCACAGGGCGCGGGGGCGGCACUGCCGAGCCGGGAGCGCUGCCGCUUGGGCAGGUGCCGCGGCCGCUGCCCGGAGGCGGCAUGUGACGCGCGGCCGCAGCUGCCCGCGGGCGGAGCGCUCUCAGACCCCGGAGCGCACACCGCGGGGCCAUCGGUGCCAUCGCGGAUCUCCAGGCUCCUCAUCAGUCCGCCGGGGCCGCAGCAGCGCUUCUGGGAAGACGGGCGAUGAACUGAAGGGCGGCUCCGGGCAGGGGGGCACGAUCUUAAGGACAGUCGCUCCCUGAACGCGGAGCCGGAGGAGACGAAGGGAAGGUGGAGCGGACGCCACCCGCGCACCGGGCAGGCGCGGAGACCGGCGUGGGACAGCCACCUGGAGCGCAGCUGCCAGAUAUGAACAGUAAUGGCACAUAUUUUGGUUAUGAGUCACUCAGAGGACUGUGGAUUGAAUGAACUGUAUCCAUCCCCAUCAUGAUGUACAGA
rnacentral:lncRNA from 10 species